UAGAGUCAUCCGUGGUCGGAAGAAGUCUGGAAAAGAUUCGGAGAAUAGUCGAUCACUAUAGAAAAUCGGCUGAUAGCGGAGUUCAGAGGAUGUUUGGAGCAACCCGAUAGAUGAAUGGAGAAGCUCAUUGUUGGAGAAGUCCGGAUGGUAUUAUGGAAGCUUGGACGAUCGUGGGAGUUCAGAAAGAUGCCACACAAGGUCGGAAGCUGGAAAAGCCCUGGAAGGGUCAGCCUUUUACAAACUUCGGCUGGGGAUAUUUUAUACCCAACACUUAGUAAGAGGAAAUCGCAUCCUGUAUAUUCUCAUUCCUAGAUGACUCAGAAAAAAUCUUUUGGCCAAA
rnacentral:lncRNA from 1 species